rnacentral:pre_miRNA from 1 species
GAUGCUGUGACAAUCGGUUUUCAUCCUGAUCUCGGAGUUAAAGGCAUCUGAGAUCAUCAUGAAAACUAGUUGUCGCAAUGUG